UACAGAGGUCUCAAGCGUUGUUCGGAUUCAUUGGGCGUAAAGGGUGCGUAGGUGGCGCCGUAAGUCAGGUGUGAAAUUUCGGAGCUUAACUCCGAAGCUGCAUUUGAUACUGCGGUGCUUGAGGACUGGAGAGGAGACUGGAAUUCACGGUGUAGCAGUGAAAUGCGUAGAUAUCGGAAGGAACAUCAGUGGCGAAAGCGGCUUCCUGGACCAGUACCGACGUUCAGGCACGAAAGCGUGGGGAGCAAACAGG
rnacentral:rRNA from 1 species